rnacentral:rRNA from 1 species
CCCCCCACGGUGGAUGAUGUGGAUUAAUUGAUGCACGGAAAAACCUGCCUACCCUGACAUGUACGGAAGUCAGAUGAGAGGCGGAUGUGCUCGAAAGAGAACCGUAACACAGGUGCAAAAAGUCGUCAGCUCGUGUCGUGAGAUGGUGUCUAGCCCGGGAACGAGCAACCCUUGUCCUUGGUCGCUACGCAAGAGCACUCUAAGGGACUGCCGGUGACAAACCGGAGGAAGUGGGGAUGACGUCAGUCUUCAUGGCCCUUAUGGGUCAGGGCUUCUACACGUCAUCUCAAUGGUCGGUCAGAGGGCGGAAAACGAGGUGGAG